rnacentral:rRNA from 1 species
GAUGAACGCUGGCGGCGUGCCUAAUACAUGCAAGUCGAGCGAACGGACGAGAAGCUUGCUUCUCUGAUGUUAGCGGCGGACGGGUGAGUAACACGUGGAUAACCUACCUAUAAGACUGGGAUAACUUCGGGAAACCGGAGCUAAUACCGGAUAAUAUUUUGAACCGCAUGGUUCAAAAGUAAAAGACGGUCUUGCUGUCACUUAUAGAUGGAUCCGCGCUGCAUUAGCUAGUUGGUAAGGUAACGGCUUACCAAGGCAACGAUGCAUAGCCGACCUGAGAGGGAGAGAGGCAACAAUGGAAAAGAGACAAGGUCCAGACGCAUACGGGAGGCAGCAGGAGGGAAUCUUACGCAAGGGGCGAAAGACGGAAGGAGCAACGCAGAGGGAGUGAUGAAGGUCUGCGGAUCGUAAAACACUGGUAAGAGGGAAGAACAUAUGUGUAAGUAACUGUGCACAGAUUGACGGUACCUAAUAAGAAAGACACGGCUAACUACGUG